UGCGCUUGUGAAUCCGUGCACUUAAUGAAUGCUGCUUCAUCCUUCGUUGCUUCGUCAUAUAUGAUACGCAUGGAGUGACGUAGCACAUACAAACGUGAAAUCAUCUUUAAACUGCCCUGUAAAUUGGUGUCCAUGAGCAAAAUUAGACAUACUAUCGAUGUCAGGUGACGCAUCCUGACGUCCAACAAAUGAGUGACAUGUAUUUGUUGGGUUUGCGUCUUAGUUUCAGCAAAUUCAUGCAGCGCCAAAGGCAAAGACAAAGGUUUGGCUGCCGGCGCGGGUCACCAUUAUGUUCGUUUCAGAUUGUUCUUUAAAAAAACGAGUAGGAAAGAUGUGGCACGUAUUUAAUUUUUCUUCCAUCAAGCAAUGAUAUUAUUUAUUUUCUUUUUAAAAAUAAUACACAUUUUUUUCUUCUAUAAAACAAUGAUGUCAAUUAAUAUUCUUCCAAAAUCAUCAAGCAAUAAUGCCAUUUAUUUUUCUUCUAAAAAUAACACAUCUUUCUUUUCCUUCCGUAAACAAUGAUGACAAUUAUUUUAUUUCUAAAAGAAAAAAUAUCGUGAAUUAUGGGUAAACACAUGUGCAAAGAAAAGUAUGUGUAUAAUAAAGAAAAGUAAUACGUUAAUACACGUUUUUAUUUUCCUUUCAUAAACAAUGAUGUCAAUUAUUAUCCUUCCAGAAGAGAAAAUGACGUGAAUUAUGUGCCAAUUUAUGUGUAAAGGAAAAUAUAUGUGUGCUAAAGGAAAUUUCAUAAAAUAUAAAUUUCACGAACUGAAAGUCAGCAAUGUGAUGAUUUGAUUCAUCUUUAUCACGAUUGGCAAGUACUCCGAUGACCAUAAUGAAGUUAUUGCGGAGUUCAACAUCAUUGAGUUUGUCACCUAUUGUUUGGUCAAAAUCCGUUACAAUGCGUAGGAAUCUAAUACGACUUUAAAAAAAAAUCUCUAUCUCUACUAAAAAAGGCUAAGGGUGACGUUUUUUCGUCUACACAUCUGGUGGAUCCUUUGGUCACCCCUUGGUUAAGCCUCGGACGGCUGCGGAUCACCUGAUCAACUAGCGUCCCCGUCCGAUCUACCCUACCGCACGUCGCGCUCCCGCAUGCACACAAUCUCCUCCGUGCCCCUCCUCCCACCCUCCCCCGUGCGGCCGCCGCCAUCCUCGCCAAGGUGACGGGAAUUUCCAUCCUCUUCGUCCGUCCUGUAUGUCGCCUCGCGGCCCCGUCCCCGGCAUCGCCGCCGAUCCACUCCGUCCCCGGCCCCUGUCCUCGACGUCUCCGGUCCGCUCCGUCCCCGGCGUUGGCGUCGCCGGUCCGCUCCGUCGCAGCUGCACCGGUCCGCGAUCGGAGGGGCCCAUCCCCGGCUUCAGCUUCGCUGCCGAUCCGCUCCGUCCCCGGCAUCGGCGUCGCUGCUGCUCUGUCUCGGCAACUCCGUCGCCGCUGCCCCGAUCCGCGACGGGAGGGUCCCCCGUCCCCGGCAUCGCCGCCGAUCCGCUCCGUCUCCGUGAGCCGCCCAUCCGUGCGGAGCGUCACCCACCCUCCAUCCAAUCGAACCCCCCCCCCCCCCCCCCCCCCCCGCGGCCACAUCGACGCCUGGCGCCGUCCCAUCGUCGGCAGCCCCGCUGCUUGGUGCCGCACGGAGCGUCUGCUAGCCCGCCACCCGCCAUCCCGUCGUGCAGAGCAAGCGCCGUUUGCACGGCGCCAUCCCAUCGCGCAGAACCGGUGUCCUCCCUUCGCGAGCUGCCGCGCGGAGUGAUGGCUGGCCCGUCGUCUUGCUUCAUCCACGACAUUCUCCAACCCCAUGUACCAGGUUGAUCAGGAUAGCAGCGAUGGCAGGGCAUUUGCAUGACAUGAAAAUGAUGGCACCCUUUGGAUGUGGAGUGGUUCUUUUUAGGUGGACUGAAUGAUCUUCCUGACCGCGACAUGGAUAAUAAGGUGAUUUUGCUUCUUCUUCUUCUUCUUUUUCUAAGUGCAGAUGAUGUCUUGUAUUUUUCUUUUUUGAAAUAAAAUGCCUUGUACUUUUCACUGAAAUAAGCAUAGAAUUAAGUCAAUGAAUUUCUUCUGGAUA